AGUGGGGAAUCCUGGACAAUGGGCGCAAGCCUGAUCCAGCCAUGCCGCGUGAGUGAUGAAGGCCCUAGGGUUGUAAAGCUCUUUCACCGGUGAAGAUAAUGACGGUAGCCGGAGAAGAAGCCCCGGCUAACUCCGUGCCAGCAGCCGCGGUAAUACGGAGGGGGCUAGCGUUGUUCGGAAUUACUGGGCGUAAAGCGCACGUAGGCGGGUAUCCAAGUUGGGGGUGAAAUCCCGGGGCUCAACCCCGGAACUGCCUCCAAAACUGGGUACCUAGAGUCCGAGAGAGGUGAGUGGAAUUCCCAGUGUAGAGGUGAAAUUCGUAGAUAUUGGGAAGAACACCAGUGGCGAAGGCGGCUCACUGGCUCGGUACUGACGCUGAGGUGCGACAGCGUGGGGAGCAAACAGGAUUAGAUACCCUGGUAGUCCACGCCGUAAACGAUGAGAGCUAGUUGUCGGGCAGCAUGCUGUUCGGUGACGCAGCUAACGCAUUAAGCUCUCCGCCUGGGGAGUACGGUCGCAAGAUUA
rnacentral:rRNA from 1 species